UAGUCCACACCGUAAACGCUGUCUACUAGCUGUUUGGUGCUAUAUGUACUGAGUAGCGAAGCUAACGCGCUAAGUAGACCGCCUGGGGAGUACGGUCGCAAGAUUAAAACUCAAAUGAAUUGACGGGGGGCCCGCACAAGCGGUGGAGCAUGUGGUUUAAUUCGAUGCAACGCGAAGAACCUUACCUACACUUGACAUGUUGAGAACUAUCCAGAGAUGGAUAGGUACCUUCGGGGACUCAAACACAGGUGCUGCAUGGCUGUCGUCAGCUCGUGUCGUGAGAUGUUGGGUUAAGUCCCGCAACGAGCGCAACCCUUGUCCUUAUUUGCCAGCAUUAAGUUGGGACUUUAAGGNGACUGCCGGUGACAAACCGGGAGGAAGGUGGGGACGACGUCAAGUCAUCAUGGCCCUUACGUGUAGGGGCUACGACACGUGCUACAAUGGGUAUGUACAG
rnacentral:rRNA from 1 species